CUUGCCAGGUCCUAGAUAACAGCAAUAGCACUUUUGAGUGAUAUUGCUGUUAUCUAGGACCUGGCAAG